CCCGGUCACACUACACAACGAUAACGAUACGAUAAAUUGCAAACACGCGAUAAUUGUCAAAAAAAUUGUGUUAGUGUCCACACAACAACGAAAAUGGUAAAAUUAUCGUUAGACGAUAACGAUUUUAAAAUCGCUCACCUGAGCGAUUUUUUUUCAGUCGGACGAUAACGAUAAAUUUUUGACCAAUCAGCGCGCGUAUACAAGUUAUCGUAUCGCUAUCGUUGUGUAGUGUGACCUGG